rnacentral:misc_RNA from 1 species
GAUGAAGAACGUAGCGAAAUGCGAUAAGUAAUGUGAAUUGCAGAAUUCAGUGAAUCAUCGAAUCUUUGAACGCACAUUGCGCCCGUCAGUAUUCUGGCGGGCAUGCCUGUCUGAGCGUCAUUUCAACCCUCAUGCCCCUAGGGCGUGGUGUUGGGGAUCGGCCAAAGCCCGCGAGGGACGGCCGGCCCCUAAAUCUAGUGGCGGACCCGUCGUGGCCUCCUCUGCGAAGUAGUGAUAUUCCGCAUCGGAGAGCGAUGAGCCCCUGCCGUUAAACCCCCAACUUUCCAAGGUUGACCUCAGAUCAGGUAGGAAUACCCGCUGAACUUAAGCAUAUCAAUAAGCGGAGGA